rnacentral:rRNA from 1 species
UCCUGGCUCAGGAUGAACGCUAGCUACAGGCUUAACACAUGCAAGUCGAGGGGCAGCAUGAACUUAGCUUGCUAAGUUUGAUGGCGACCGGCGCACGGGUGAGUAACGCGUAUCCAACCUACCCCUUAGUAGGGCAUAGCCCGUAGAAAUGCGGAUUAAUACCCUAUGUUUUCCGGAGACGGCAUCAGAACUGGAACAAAGAUUGAUCGCUAAGGGAUGGGGAUGCGUACGAUUAGGUUGUUGGCGGGGUAACGGCCCACCAAGCCUGCGAUCGUUAGGGGUUCUGAGAGGAAGGUCCCCCACACUGGUACUGAGACACGGACCAGACUCCUACGGGAGGCAGCAGUGAGGAAUAUUGGUCAAUGGGCGUGAGCCUGAACCAGCCAAGUAGCGUGCAGGACGACGGCCCUACGGGUUGUAAACUGCUUUUAUCAGGGGAUAAAGUGCGGGACGUGUCCCUUUUUGCAGGUACCGCAUGAAUAAGGACCGGCUAAUUCCGUGCC